rnacentral:snoRNA from 1 species
GACACCCUUUUCACCUUGCCAAUUGGACAUAUGUCUUUAUUGGUCAUUCAAGUGGGACAAGGAGAUAUUCUUUUGAAACUCAAGCAAACUAGGUGUUUGUCUUGUAAGCUGUCAGAGGAAACAAAU